rnacentral:piRNA from 1 species
UAUGAGUGCACUGAAUGUGAGAAGGCCU